AAGCAGAUCGGCGGCCGCGGGGAGGUUCGGGGCGGCGCAGCCCCGCGCGGUUGUGGGAUCGCUCCCGGGGGCCGCUCCUCUCUCGGGCACUGGGGUCGCGGGAGACGUCGUCGGGAGCUCGGUUUCUGGAGGCCCUUCCCCACCCGGCCUCUGCCUCCUCCACUCCCCCGGGCUGGACGGAACGGGGCCCAGCGCGGGAUGCGAGGCUGGAGGGCAGUGGCGCAAUCUCGGCUCACUGCAGCCUCGAACUCCUAGGCUGAAGCGAUUCUCCCGCCUCAGCCUCCAAAGUAGCCGGUACUACAGGCGCGCGCCACCACGCCUGGCUAAGAAAUAACCAUGGAUAUGGGUAGAGACAGAGCCAUAUGGAAUGCACACUGCAGUGGUGAACACAUGGCCCAGCUCUGCCAUCAAGGAGAAGGAACAUGAAUGGAGCUGGAGGCCAUCAUCCUUAGUGAACUAACACAGGAGCAGAAAACCAAAUACCACAUGUUCUCAUGUGUAAGUGGGAGCUAAAUGAUGAGAACACAUGGACACAAAGAGGGGAACAACAGACACUGAAGCCUCCUUGAGGGAGGAGGGUAAGAGGAAGGAGAAGAUCAGAAAAGAUAACUACCAGGUACUAUGGUAGCUUAGUACCUGGGUGAUGAAAUAAUCUGUACACCCAACCCUCAUGACAGAAGUUUACCUGUGUAACAAACCUGCACAUGUAUCCCUGAAACUAAAAGUUUUUUAAAAAGUUAUUUAAUAUAUAUAUAUUUUUUUGAGACGGAGUUUUGCUCUUGUUGCCCAGGCUGGAGUGCGGUGGCGCAAUUUCGGCUCACCACAACCUCCGCCUCCCAGGUUCAAGCUAUUCCCCUGCCUCAGCCUCCCUAGUAGCUGGGAUUACAGGCUUGUGCCACCACGCCGGCUAAUUUUGUAUUUUUUGUAGAGACGGGGUUUCUCCAUGUUGGUCAGGCUGGUCUCGAACUCCCGACCUCAGGUGAUCCACCCCCCUCGGCCUCCCAAAGUGCUAGGAUUACAGGCAUGAGCCACUGCGCCCGGCAAAAAGUUAUUUAAUAUUAAUGGGACAAUACUCAUUGCAAGAAUCAGACUUCAAUUGCUAGCAUAAGUAAAUGACAGGCAGGAGAUAUUGAAAAUGCAAUCUUAUAGACAUUCAAGGAGAGGACGCAGGACAUUUCUGUGUCAUAAAUGUACUAUGGAAAAUAAAAAUGAGAAAAAUGGAAAUAAAAUACAAGAAAAGGUUAUGAUAAAUUUCAUAUUAUUUUACCACAAUAAAAAAAUUUUAAUAAAUUAUAAAUGGUGUGAUAUGUUUUGCCUGUGUUCCACCCAAAUCUCAUCUUGAAUUAGAGCUCCCACAAUUCCCACGUGUUGUGGCUGGGACCCUGUGGGAGAUAAUUGAAUCAUGGGGGCAGUUUACCCCAUACUGUUCUCUUGGUGGUGAAUAAGUCUCAUGAGAGUUGAUGGUUUGAUAAGGGGUUUCCCCUUUUGCUUGGCUCUCAUUCUCUCUUGACUGCCACCAUGUAAGAUGUGCCUUUUGCCUUCCACCAUGAUUGUGAAGCCUCCCAGCCACAUGGAACUGUGAGUCCAUUAAACCUUUUUCUUUACAAAUUA
rnacentral:lncRNA from 1 species